rnacentral:tRNA from 1 species
GCUGGAAUGGUCUAGUUGGUUAUGACGACUGCCUAACACGAAGUAGGUCCCGAGUUCGAUUCUCGGUUCCAGUA